ACAAUACCAGUUGUAGCAUGGAUAUUGAUGCUGGUAGCCAGGAAGAGGGAAAAAAUGUUCUCGCGGCUGCUGCUACAAGUGUAGAUGUAGGGAACACACCUGUAUCUUCAGAUCAAGCUGUCUCGAAUGAAGGGAGUGAUGCGGUUCACGCACCUGUAUCUUCAGAUCAAGCUGUCUCGAAUGAAGGGAGUGACGCUGUUCACGCACCUGUAUCUUCGGAUCAAGCUGCGCCAAAUGAAGAGAGUGGCAUGGUUCCUGAAUAAAACAUCUUCUGCAUACCUCAUCUGCAGCGGAUGUCACAAGCAUGAUGCCAAAGGUGACUACUGAACACUAGCUCGCGUGCCAUGUUUGUUUUGUUAAUUUUCGUUUUGACUCUCUGCUGGUCUGAACAUUUGUGGAAGUAAAACCUGAUAUUUACAGCUUUCUAUUGAAAAUAUGAACUUGAGGAAACAGGUCAUCCCGCUAGUGCUGCUUUUGACCUUUCUUUUAUGGGCCUCGCUUCGGGUCUGGGUUUUGAAGAAGUACCCAUGUUUGACUUAUCAUGUGGGGCAAAAUAUCACCGUCUUUUGUGGCGGUGGCUGCAGCUGGUGUUUGUGCGAUGUGGGGUUAUGGCCCUGUUUGGUUCGGCUGUGGAUUUCUAAAAGCAGCUGUGAAAAAUCUGCUAUGGAAAAACAACUGUGGAAAAUCUGAUGUGAUAAAGAUGUAGGUCAUUUGGCAAACCAGAUGAUACAGCUUUUUCAAAUUUUGGCUCGCAGCGGAAUCAGAU
rnacentral:lncRNA from 1 species